UGUCGACGCCCUAAAAACGCCGAGCUCCAUUUCUGCCUCUCCCAGACGCGUCGCCACUCUUCACCCACCAUUCCAGUGCCGAUCCAUCCGAGGGAGAGCAUCCUCGCUGCUCUUCUCCACUGGUUCUCCAUCGCCGGCUGCGAAGAAGACGAUGGCCGCAAUCGUUGAUGAGCCGCGGUCGUUUCCUCUUCUCUUGCGUUCCAUACUCUCCUCACCAUGCCGAAUAUUUCUCCUUUUGAUUUCAUCCUCUCUGGUGCAGCCAAUCGGCGGGAACGCUGCCAUGCACACCGGAGCUCUGGAGCGCGCUCUGCGCACCGCCGCAGCAACAUCGUCGCCGUUGCCAUCAAUCUAGAUCAAGCCGGAGCGAGCCACCACGCCACCAGCUUCACCUCAACCUCCUCUCCAUUUCCCCUCAAGAAUCUUGAAGAAUGGUGCUACGAGUGUGGAGAUCGUCCACCGUCUUCUCCACCUCCGGUCGCCGUCGCCAUUGUCGAUUCCGCCUCCUCCGGUGAGCCAUUGUCCGAUUCUUCGCGUAUACACCAUCCCUGGGACCUCACUAACCCCAUGAAACACAUGCAUGUCAAUUCGAUGAGUGGAUCGAGCCGUUGCCGUCUUCCCGGAGCUCUACACCGUCGCCGGACCAUCUUCUUCUCCGCUGCCGCUGUCCAGACUUUCCGGCGCCUCGUUCAAGGUUCGUAGCAGCCUAAGCACAGCCGCCGCUCGGACUCGCCGCCGGCGUUACUCCGAUGUCCACUGACCAAGAAAAGAAGAGGAAUGGAAUCGCAAUAGCAUGAUCUUCAUUUUGUCUUUUGGUCGCACCCUCAAACGAGCCACCGUUUGCCGCUGGCAAGCUUGAGAUCGAGCUCAGCCAUGGCUUGAUCUGCUUCAGCUCGAACCAGGGACCUCGUCACAAGAAUUUAGGUUAAUGUAGGGCUCUUUAUGCAAAAGCUCAAGACACACAGAACAGUCAUAGGACUGCGGGUUGAUUUCCUGAAACUAUAGGAGCCUUUUUGCAUAUUGGCCUGAGACUGACAGUGCACCCCUUGGAAACAAAAUCUGAAAUUAUAAAAGAACAGUAACUAAAACUUGUAAAAAUCCAUAUAAAAUUAAAUAUAGCUCAUUUUAAGAUGAUUCAAAUUUCUGUGAACUCACCAAAUUGGGAACUUUGAUGUUAUGGAAUAAAAACUUGCACUCACAGUACAAAUUUAGCCUCUAAAAUUUAUCCAAGUUAAAUCACACAUAAAGCACGCACAAAAUUUAUAAAAUGCAUACAAAAUUCAUUUCAACUCAUUUUGGAGCAAACUCAAUUUCUACAGAUCCACCAACUUAUGUUCUCCUAUAAAGCAAAAUGAAAUAGUAUACAUACUAUACAUCAAAUGCCUCUAAAACUAUUACCUUUAAAUGACUAGUUUUAGAUAAGCUGAAUUUUAGAAGUUCAUAUAAAAUUCAUCUUAGAUCUUUUUUUAGUAAACCCAAGUUCUGUAGAAUCACCAAAACAUAUACUUCCAAAUUAUAAAAUAAAAUUAUAUACUUACUGUAUGAUAAAAGCCUCUAAAUACUUAUGUAAGUAAUAACCAUCAUAGAGCAACCUUAAAUUGUAAAAUUUGUAGAAAAUUCAUCUUUAGUCUAAAUGAAGUGAACCAAAUAUCUAUAGAACCAGCAAACAGUGGGCUUCAACAUAGUAAAAUAAAAUAUGGAACCUUCUGUACAGGUUAUAGCUCUAAACUUUAAAUUUAUAGGAUAGGUGCUAAUCACAUAGUAUCGAUUGAGCAAUAUGUAUAUAUAUAAAUGUAUAUAGAAAUACACUCUAGCUAUAAUGAAACUCAAAUAAAACUUGUUAGACCAGUGAAUGCAUAGUUCCAUUCCCAUCCACCAAAACUUAAGGCACUUAGCUCAUAUAAUAAUUUCUAGGUUGAUAUAAUAAAUUGCUAACAUGGACUAGAGCUCCCCUAGUUUAUAAAAUAUGAACCAUGAUAAUAAA